rnacentral:rRNA from 1 species
CCUACGGGUGGCAGCAGUGAGGAAUAUUGGUCAAUGGGCGCGAGCCUGAACCAGCCAAGUAGCGUGAAGGAUGACUGCCCUACGGGUUGUAAACUUCUUUUAUAAAGGAAUAAAGUGAGGCACGUGUGCCUUUUUGUAUGUACUUUAUGAAUAAGGAUCGGCUAACUCCGUGCCAGCAGCCGCGGUAAUACGGAGGAUCCGAGCGUUAGCCGGAUUUAUUGGGUUUAAAGGGAGCGUAGAUGGGUUGUUAAGUCAGUUGUGAAAGUUUGCGGCUCAACCGUAAAAUUGCAAUUGAUACUGUGAGUCUUGAGUACCGUUGAGGUAGACGGAAUUCCUAGUGUAGCGGUGAAAUGCUUAGAUAUCACGAAGCACUCCGAUUGCGACGGCAGCUUACUAAACUGCCACUGACAUUGAUGCUCGAAAGUGUGGGUAUCAAACAGGAUUAGAUACCCCUGUAGUC